CAACUGAAUGAGCAUCCAGGUUUGAACAAAACACCCAGGAGAUUCAUGUACACAAUAUGAAUUAGCAGUAUACCUGAAGGGUCCAGCCAGAAGGCAAAACCAUACCAGUUAUUUGAAAGAACAUUCAAUAUAAAGAGCUGUUAACGAGAGAACUAAAAGUGCAAAAGGGGAAUUCAAUGAGACCAUGGUGGUAGCAGCUGUAGGAAGCAACCAUCAUCCAUGUAGCUGUGAGAACAAGAAAAGUCCUGUAGAGGUGCCACGCAGAACCUGGACAGGAUACUGGAGGUCGGUGCCAGUGUCUCUGAGAGAGCAUGAGGAGGCUGGUUCCACAAGCAUUGGGAAAACUGCAGUCUGAAUCCAGCUGAUGCUACAGGAAGGCACCUUGGAUGUUACAGGAAGAUGUCAUGCUGGUGUGAUGUUUACAGAAACCUCAAGCAAACAAGGAAAGCUCACAGAGGGAACAGCUUUCUCCCUGGAACAGCAGAGGAGCAGACAGGAUCAAGCCUUUCUCUGUUCUCCAGCCUCACAGUCUCCCUCUGGUGCUGCCUACAUGAAGAGUGCAACAGGGAGCCCACAAAGCAGUACAGUUUGUGAAGUAUCACAGAGUAUCUCAAAGAUGAGUAUUACAAUGGGUUUGGAGCUAAGAGACAACUAACUUAAACAUUGACACAGAUGUUCAGAGCAGCCAUUGCAUAGGACAAAGGAACACAGGUACAGGGCUUUGGGCUCUAAAAGAAGCAAGGAAUUACAGUGGAAUCUUUGUAAAAGGUUAGAGUUUGAAUGGGCAUUAUGUCACACAGACAAGUAGGUAUGUGACUGGACAACUUAUCAAAUGUUUGUUUUGGUCAUCAUUUUAGUAAAAUGAGCAAAUAUUAUAUGUAACUGUUCUAAUAA